rnacentral:rRNA from 1 species
AACGAACGCUGGCGGCAUGCCUAACACAUGCAAGUCGAACGAGACCUUCGGGUCUAGUGGCGCACGGGUGCGUAACGCGUGGGAACCUGCCCUUAGGUUCGGAAUAACUCCCCGAAAGGGGUGCUAAUACCGGAUAAUGUCUUCGGACCAAAGAUUUAUCGCCUUUGGAUGGGCCCGCGUUGGAUUAGCUAGUUGGUAGGGUAAAAGCCUACCAAGGCGACGAUCCAUAGCUGGUCUGAGAGGAUGAUCAGCCACUCUGGGACUGAGACACGGCCCAGACUCCUACGGGAGGGAGGAGUGGGGAAUAGUGGACAAUGGGCGAAAGCCUGAUCCAGCAAUGCCGCGUGAGUGAUGAAGGCCUUAGGGUUGUAAAGCUCUUUUACCCGGGAUGAUAAUGACAGUACCGGGAGAAUAAGCUCCGGCUAACUCCGUG